AUACGGAGGAUGCGAGCGUUAUCCGGAUUUAUUGGGUUUAAAGGGUGCGUAGGCUGUGCGUUAAGUCAGGGGUGAAAUGCCGUCGCUCAACGACGGAGCUGCCCUUGAUACUGGCGUGCUGGAGUACGGAUGCCGUUGGAGGAAUGAGUGGGGUAGCGGUGGAAUGCUUAGAUAUCACUCAGAACACCGAUUGCGAAGGCAUCUGACGAAUCCGUCACUGACGCUGAGGCACGAAAGCGUGGGGAUAGAACAGGAUUAGAUACCCUGGUAUUCCACGCCGUAAACGAUGAUGACUAACCGUCGGCGAUAGACAGCCGGUGGCCAAGCGAAAGCGAUAAGUCAUCCACCUGGGGAGUACGGCGGCAACGAUGAAACUCAAAUGAAUUGACGGGG
rnacentral:rRNA from 1 species